rnacentral:rRNA from 1 species
AUUGAACGCUGGCGGCAGGCCUAACACAUGCAAGUCGAGCGGAUGAAGGGAGCUUGCUCCUGGAUUCAGCGGCGGACGGGUGAGUAAUGCCUAGGAAUCUGCCUGGUAGUGGGGGAUAACGUCCGGAAACGGGCGCUAAUACCGCAUACGUCCUGAGGGAGAAAGUGGGGGAUCUUCGGACCUCACGCUAUCAGAUGAGCCUAGGUCGGAUUAGCUAGUUGGUGGGGUAAAGGCCUACCAAGGCGACGAUCCGUAACUGGUCUGAGAGGAUGAUCAGUGACACUGGAACUGAGACACGGUCCAGACUCCUACGGGGGGCAGCAGUGGGGAAUAUUGGACAAUGGGCGAAAGCCUGAUCCAGCCAUGCCGCGUGUGUGAAGAAGGUCUUCGGAUUGUAAAGCACUUUAAGUUGGGAGGAAGGGCAGUAAGUUAAUACCUUGCUGUUUUGACGUUACCAACAGAAUAAGCACCGGCUAACUUCGUG